CCCCGAGUCAAAAUAAACCCAGCUCUCGAGAUCCCAAAUGACACCGGAGGAAAUUUUUCUUUGACACAUUAGAUGCAUCUUGACACCAUUUUUCGACAUGGCAGAUGAACCGCACCCUGUUUCCAAUCAAGUCGAAGACGAAGAAAACAAACGUUACUGCUGGGUGUGCUACGCAAGUGACGAGGAUGAUGAGACUGCACCCUGGGUGAAGCCUUGUAAAUGCAGAGGAACUACAAAAUGGGUUCACCAGUCGUGUUUGCAGCGAUGGGUGGACGAAAAACAGAAGGGUAAUUCGACAGUGAAAGUGAAUUGUCCUCAAUGUGGGGUCGAGUAUUUCAUUGCCUUUCCAAAUAUGGGCCAGCUAAUGCUGUUCCUGGACAGAGUAGAUGCCUUCAUAUAUAAAGUCUGUCCAUUUGUGGCAGCGGGGGUGGUGGUUGGAUCAAUCUACUGGACAGCUGUUACCUAUGGAGCCAUUACAGUUAUGCAGGUCGUAGGAUACCAGGAGGGCAUGGCCUUGAUGGAACAGGCUGAUCCUUUGGUCCUGUUGGUUGGGUUGCCCACGAUACCUAUCUUCCUGAUCCUAGGCAAGAUGGUUCGCUGGGAGGACAAGGUCUUGCGGCUAAUACGCAUGUCAGUGCAGAGGCUUCCUUUCCUGAAAUAUCUUCUGCCAGCAUUUAGGUAUGAGGAACUAUCAGAUGUUAGUACAACUGCAGUCAUCAGUGAUCCUGUAAAUGCCACAAGGGUGUUGUGUGGUGCGCUCUCAUUGCCAACACUUGCUACAAUAGUUGGGCGCCUCUUCUUUCCCUCGGCUCAGGACAACCUUACGAGAACUUUGCUGGGAGGGGCAUCCUUCUUGGUGGUGAAAGGCCUGUUCAAAGUGUACUACAAGCAACAGCAGCACGUAAUGCAGAGCCGGCGGAAGAUCAUAGAUUACCCCCAGGAGCCAGCCACGCCCCAGACGCAACCUCCCACCCCACAGGCCCCACCCCCCACUCCACAGGACGCUCCCCAGGUGGAGCCAGUGCCUACGACACUAUCUCCUUCCUCGGGCUUUGAGAUGGAGCAACAGUACCUGCAGCAGCAUCAACAAUAGGAGCUGUCUUAUGGUUUAUAUCUGCUGUUAGGAAUGUGUGAUAUGGAUACAGUUCCCAUCUUGUGCAAGGUGACUGAUACCUCACAGACCCUUAUUCAUGCUUAACAGUCUGGUUGUGCUCGUUGAUGCUGUAGCAUUCAGGAAGGAGAAGGUUGACACUUUAGAGACUGCAGUGAGGACCUUUUUUCCCCUCUCUCUCUUUCCUUGAAAUAGACUGGCUUUUGGACCUACUGGUACUUGUCAUCAUUAAGAUGGUGUUGAUUUUUUGGGGGUAUUGAUGUCAGCAUUGGUAUAUGUUAUAAUUAUAAUGUCAGAGUGAACUGUGAUAGUGAUGUUAAAAAUUUAAUAGUGAGAUGUACUAACACUGGCAUAUGCAGAUAGCUUUCUUCUGCAUGAAAUGCUUAACCAAAAUAUGUGAUUUCUUUUUAUGUGGAGAAUAGGAGAUUAUACAUCUUUUUAUUUUACCAUUAAAGGAUAAGGUAUUUGUUGUACUAAAUUUGCAGUCAGUAUAUUGCAGAUGUUGGCUUGACUUAGUUUAUCAUUUGUAAACAGUGUGAUGUUUUUUUCAGACAUGUUGGUAUCCUGUAAAUAGCAGUUUUCAUUUGAUAUCAAGGAGUUCUAGAGAGUUACUUUUAACAAAAUGGAGAUGAAACUAGUAGCAUGUCCCAUUUCUGUCUAGAAGAGUUUAAAGAUUUAGUUGGUUAUUCUGCUGGUACAGUAGCCAGAUAAUUUUUAUGAUGAUACUUUUAAUAAUGCCAGGAAUGGAGAAGGAUUCAGUUCCUUUGGACACUGAUAUGGUAUCUGAUGGUGAGAGUAGUAAGCUCAUGUAAAAGAAGUUCUUGGCAGAGGGAAAGGGGAAUUUAUGUUUUAAAGGUAGAUUUAGGGAUCUGUUUUUCCUAAAACUGCUGAUCAUUGUUAAUUUAGAGAUGAGAGUUUGUAAUCUAGUUAAACAGCUUAAUUUGAAAGAAGAAGAGAAUAGACGUAAACAAUGGACUUCUUCUGGAAAGUUUAGAUAAGCAUAGCAGGAUAUUUCAAUUUUUUCAUCUUUAAACUAUUGUCAUCCACAGCUAUUUAUCAUGAAUAUCUAUUUUAAUGACCAUUUUCCACAUUCACUAAUCCUUUAUUAUUUUGAAGGAUUGUCAUGUAUAAUGAUUGGUGGCCGUUAUUCUGAAGGUUUGGUGAUAAUGUAGCCAAAAUGAAUGCUAGAGCAUGGAUAUUUCAGUGCAUUUGGUGUGUAUGUGUGUCUGUAUGCUUGAAAGAUAAUGUUCAUAGUAUAUUUCAUCAGAUUUAGAAAUGAGACAAGCGUAACUUUUUUCUUUUUCAUAUUAGUCUUUUUUGAGGCUAAGUUUAACAUGAAACACACCAGUGUGAAUGUUUUUUUUUAACAAUUUUUUGAAUUUGAUGGGAUGGUCUACUUCUUGUGUAUUUGAAAGACCUAAACUUACACUGAAGGAUCAACAUUUAUAUUAUUGUUAAUUGUAUCCUAUGAAAUUGAAGAGUACUGUAUAUCCUUUCUCAAGUUUCACCUAAUUUGUGUGAUUUAUUUUUCUUAUGAUAUAUAUUUAUGUUAAUUAGAAAAUGUAGAAAGUCAUGUGGUAAUCCCUUUCAGAUUUGAGAGAAUCAACAGUAACAUUUAUAAUAAUAAUAAU
rnacentral:misc_RNA from 1 species